GCUCAAGGACCAGAUGUGCGGCAGGCGGACAAUCUGUGCAGAAGGGACAUGUUGUGUUGAAAUCAAUUUGAGGCCUGGACUAUGUAAACCGUUAGGAGUACGUGGUGAUCAAUGUUCACCAAGGACUCUUUCUAACGUGUAUUAUAACUUUUGCCCAUGCAACGUUAAUCAAGGUACGUGCGAGAAUGGCAUUUGCACAUAGUGCAAUGUCAGGAAUACUCAUUUGUCGAAUGGUUUUGUGGAGAUAAAAUAAAUAGUUUUUAUUUUCAAUG